UACAGGGGGGGCAAGCGUUGUUCGGAAUUACUGGGCGUAAAGGGCUCGUAGGCGGCCAACUAAGUCACACGUGAAAUCCCCAGGCUUAACCUGGGAACUGCGUGUGAUACUGGAUGGCUUGAGUUUGGGAGAGGGACGCGGAAUUCCAGGUGUAGCGGUGAAAUGCGUAGAUAUCAGGAGGAACACCAGUGGCGAAGGCGGCUUCCUGGACACCAACUGACGCUGAGACGCGAAAGCGUGGGGAGCAAACAGG
rnacentral:rRNA from 1 species